AAUGUAGUUCUGUCAAAUUGGAAACUUUCUUUCGAUAGUAGUGAUUCUGAAGUCAAAUCAUUGUGCUAAUAACUUACAGUCUAUGAACAAAUGACUGAAUAACUUGAGUGCCACGGGUAUUAACUAGAUAAGAAAAAUAUUAUGUGCACUAAAACAUGUAAUUUUCAGCGAUAUUCAUCAAGAACAACAACUCCUGUGUCUGCCUUAAUCCUCUCAAUGUGAGCCACAGUUAGGUUAAUCCUCAAACUUCAUCACCACUCCAGUUGUUCCCACUCUGGAACUCUAACUCGGAAGCAUUGACCCAAGUUCCACUGCUGUGCUGUGAGAAAUAGACCUCCCACAGCUCACCAGUGAAAUUGUUGAUUGGGAUCCGGAAGAUAUGUGUUCCAAGGAUAUGCAAACUUGUGACAGCUGUAGCCUCAUUUUCCCUCGUAGAAGUAUGAAAAAGAUGGAAGGCCCAAGUGGUGAAGCUCAAAUUUUGUGUAGACAUUGUGCCAAGUUACUGAAAUCCAAAUAAUACUGCGGAAUAUGCAAGAAAAUUUGGCAUCAUUCCGACGAUGGAGAUUAGGUAUGUUGCGAUGGUUGCAAUGUAUGGGUGCAUGCUGAGUGUGCCAAUAUCUCCAGCCGACUUUUAAAGGAGCUACAGCACUCUGAUUACUACUGCCCAGAUUGGAGGCCAAGACCACUUGCAAAACGCCAAACUUACAGAAAUUGGAGCCAAAAGAGAUGUUGGUGGAAAACAAGCAAGCUCCUUUGCCUGACAAGGUUUCUGUGGUGUGCAAUGGCAUGGAAGGGUCAUAUAUUCCAAAACUUCAUCUAAUUGUGUGCAAGUGUGGCUCAUGUGAUUUAAAGAUGCAGACACCUAGUGAAUGGGAACGGCACACAGGUUGCAGAGCCAAAAAGUGGAAGUACAGUGU